GGGGGGUUCAAUUAAUUAACUUAAAGUAGAAUGCAGGCCCGUCCCGGCUCGCGUCGUUCCGAUAACCGGCGGGGCAUAGUAUUAAAUUUAGUUAUAGAAAAGAAAAAACAAGCUUGAAAAACAUGCAAAAUUUCUCAGUCUACUUGUUUGACGUUGACGCACCGGUUCUGCUCUCCAGUGACGAUGAGAGUUACUGUGUCAAGCUUGCUUGCGAUAGAAUUAUUAAACCUUUUCAGGUGAUCUAAGGUUUGUUUCCUUUUUGGCCUUUCUGAGUUAUCCGGUUCGUGUUUGAUAGGUGUAACAGUCUAAGUAAAAAAUUUUAAAAAAUUUGAUUACUCUGCUUUCCAACCAAAUCAAGCUGUGAAAUUUGUUGGGCUUGAUUCCGAAAUUCUAAACAUGGACAUAAAUUAAUUUUUCCUUUCAGAUUUACUCAUCGUUCUGAUCAAUGAGACUCGAGCAUAUGUGAAGUAAUAAUAACAACUUUUAGCAUAUUAAUUAUCUUUGUGCUUAAACUAAAACUUUUAAGACUAUGCAACUGAACAGCAGUCUCUUGUGUUAGAAUGGGGAUUAUAUUAACUGAGCUAAUAUUGUUUACUAUUAGUGAUUUGAACAACGAUUGGAUUUUGCAAUAUAUUAGUAAUGUUUAGUGAAAUUAGGAAAGGGUUAUUUUAGUCACGUAAUACACUCACUUGUGGAAAGUACAAUUUUACAUAUCAAUUAGAAAUACAAAAAAAAA